rnacentral:rRNA from 1 species
UGAAGUGGGGGUGAAACCCCAUGGAGGACCGAACCGACCCCCGUUGCAAUGGUGGCGGAUGACUUGUGGGUAGCGGUGAAAUUCCAAUCGAACUCGGAGAUAGCUGGUUCUCCCCGAAAUAGCUUUAGGGCUAGCGUUGGCUUAGAUUACCGGAGGUAAAGCACUGAAUGGGCUAGGGGCCGAUAAGGUUACUGAACCCUAUCAAACUCUGAAUGCCGGAUAAUUGAUGGCCAGCAGUCAGUCUACGUGAGAUAAGUCUCGUGGACAAAAGGGAAACAGCCCAGACCCACAGCUAAGGUCCCAAAGAUACGCUAAGUGGAAAACGAUGUGGAGUUGCGAAAACAACCAGGAUGUUGGCUUAGAAGCAGCCACUCAUUAAAAGAGUGCGUAAUAGCUCACUGGUCGAGUGACUCUGCGCGGAAAAUAUAACGGGGCUAAGCGUAACACCGAAGCUUGGGCUGCACAGCAAUGUGCGGGGUAGGGGAGCGUCGAAUAUGGGGUGAAGUCGCAGCGGAAGCAGCGGUGGACUGUAUUCGAGUGAGAAUGCCGGAAUGAGUAGCGAGAAUUAUGUGGGAAUCAUAAUGGCCGAAAAUCUAAGGUUUCCUGGGGAAGGUUCGUCCGCCCAGGGUAAGCCGGGAGCUAAGGCGAGGCCGGAAGGCGUAGUCGAUGCACAUACGGUUGAAAUUCCGUAGCCACCGAACCUUAAGUACACUGACACAUGGAGAUAGCGGGACCCGGGCGUUGGUUGACCCGGGCGUAAGGGACCGAACUUUAGUAGGGAAGUCCGCGAUGCUCUGUGGCGAGAAAAGGUGUAUGGUAUGCUAAGGUGCCCGUACCGCAAACCGACACAGGUAGAUGAGGAGAGAAUCCUAAGGCCAACGGGAGAAGGGUUGUUAAGGAACUCGGCAAAUUGACCCCGUAACUUCGGGAGAAGGGGUGCUCCAGAGAUGGAGCCGCAGAGAAUCGGCCCAAGCAACUGUUUACCAAAAACACAGGUUUGUGCUAAAUCGAAAGAUGACGUAUACGAGCUGACGCCUGCCCGGUGCUGGAAGGUUAAGAGGAGAUGUGCAAGCAUUGAAUCGAAGCCCCAGUGAACGGCGGCCGUAACUAUAACGGUCCUAAGGUAGCGAAAUUCCUUGUCAGGUAAGUUCUGACCCGCAUGAAAGGCGUAAUGAUUUGGGCACUGUCUCAACAGCCCGCCCGGCGAAAUUGUAGUACCGGUGAAGAUGCCGGUUACCCGCGACAAGACGGAAAGACCCCAUGGAGCUUUACUGUAGCCUAAUAUUGGGUUUCGAUGUUGCAUGCACAGGAUAGAUGGGACACAGGGAAACAAUCGCUUUGGCGGUUGCGGAGUGGCCGUUGGGAUACCAUCCUUGCGAUAUUGGAAUUCUAACCUGCGGCUCUGAAUCGAGUCGGGGGACAUUGUUAGGUGGGCAGUUUGACUGGGGCGGUCGCCUCCUAAAAAGUAACGGAGGCGUUCAAAGGUUCGCUCAGCUUGAACGGAAAUCAAGCAAAAGAGUGCAAACGCAGAAGCGAGCCUAACUGCGAGACUGACGGGUCGAGCAGUAACGAAAGUUGGAGUUAGUGAUCCGGCGGUAUGCAAGUGGAAGUGCCGUCGCUCAACGGAUAAAAGCUACCCUGGGGAUAACAGGCUGAUCUCCCCCAAGCGUCCACAGCGACGGGGAGGUUUGGCACCUCGAUGUCGGCUCGUCACAUCCUGGGGCUGAAUUCGGUCCCAAGGGUUCGGCUGUUCGCCGAUUAAAGUGGCACGCGAGCUGGGUUCAGAACGUCGUGAGACAGUUCGGUCCCUAUCUGUUGCGGGCGUAAGAGAUUUGAAGGGAGCUGUCCUUAGUACGAGAGGACCGGGAUGGACGUACCUCUGGUGCACCAGUUGUCCUGCCAAGGGCAUAGCUGGGUAGCUAUGUACGGACGAGAUAAACGCUGAAGGCAUCUAAGCGUGAAACUCCCCCUAAGAUUAGAUCUCUCAUUCGAAAGAAGUAAGGCACGACGUAGACUAUGUCGUUGAUAGGCCGGAGGUGGAAGCACGGUAACGUGUGCAGCUGACCGGUACUAAUAAGCCGAGGGCUUGACCU